rnacentral:rRNA from 1 species
AGAGUUUGAUCAUGGCUCAGGAUGAACGCUAGCGGCAGGCCUAAUACAUGCAAGUCGAGGGGUAAUUCUGCUUUCGGGCAGAACGACCGGCGCACGGGUGCGUAACACGUAUGCAACCUACCCACAACUGGGGGAUAGCCCGGAGAAAUUCGGAUUAAUACCCCAUAAUGCAGGGGUACCACAUGGUACUAUUAGCUAAAGAUUUAUCGGUUGUGGAUGGGCAUGCGUCUGAUUAGUUAGUUGGUGAGGUAACGGCUCACCAAGGCAACGAUCAGUAGGGGGUCUGAGAGGAUGAUCCCCCACACUGGUACUGAGAUACGGACCAGACUCCUACGGGGGGCAGCAGUAGGGAAUAUUGGUCAAUGGGCGCAAGCCUGAACCAGCCAUGCCGCGUGCAGGAUGACAGCCUUCUGGGUUGUAAACUGCUUUUAUCAGGGAGGAAAACGGCCAUGCGUGGCAGAUUGACGGUACCUGAAGAAUAAGCACCGGCUAACUCCGUGCCAGCAGCCGCGGUAAUACGGAGGGUGCAAGCGUUGUCCGGAUUUAUUGGGUUUAAAGGGUGCGUAGGCGGAUUAUUAAGUCAGUGGUGAAAGUUUACGGCUCAACCGUAAAAGUGCCAUUGAUACUGGUAGUCUUGAGUACAGUAGAGGUAGGCGGAAUUUAUGGUGUAGCGGUGAAAUGCAUAGAUACCAUAAAGAACACCGAUAGCGAAGGC